UUGCAGAAUCCCGUGAACCAUCGAGUCUUUGAACGCAAGUUGCGCCCCAAGCCGUUAGGCUGAGGGCACGUCUGCCUGGGUGUCACGCAUCAUUGCCCAAACC
rnacentral:rRNA from 1 species